rnacentral:rRNA from 1 species
GGCAUGCCUUACACAUGCAAGUCGAACGGCAGCACGGGAGCAAUCCUGGUGGCGAGUGGCGAACGGGUGAGUAAUACAUCGGAACGUGCCCAAUCGUGGGGGAUAACGUAGCGAAAGCUACGCUAAUACCGCAUACGAUCUACGGAUGAAAGCGGGGGAUCGCAAGACCUCGCGCGAAUGGAGCGGCCGAUGGCAGAUUAGGUAGUUGGUGGGGUAAAGGCUCACCAAGCCGACGAUCUGUAGCCGGUCUGAGAGGACGACCAGCCACACUGGGACUGAGACACGGCCCAGACUCCUACGGGAGGCAGCAGUGGGGAAUUUUGGACAAUGGGCGCAAGCCUGAUCCAGCAAUGCCGCGUGCAGGAUGAAGGCCUUCGGGUUGUAAACUGCUUUUGUACGGAACGAAACGGUGAGCUCUAAUACAGUUUGCUAAUGACGGUACCGUAAGAAUAAGCACCGGCUAACUACGUGCCAGCAGCCGCGGUAAUACGUAGGGUGCAAGCGUUAAUCGGAAUUACUGGGCGUAAAGCGUGCGCAGGCGGUUAUGUAAGACAGAUGUGAAAUCCCCGGGCUUAACCUGGGAACUGCAUUUGUGACUGCAUAGCUAGAGUACGGU